GAGUCAAUUUAGACAUAUCUCAUUCUUAGCAGCUUAGCUCAUUAGUAGAGAUCCUUACAAGCAUAGUUUCUUGCUUUCAUUUCUUACUCUGCUGAUUUCUUUCAAUAGGGUGUGGUGGAAAAGGAGAGUAAUUUUGUUAGGUAAGAAGGAAAGAUUGAGAGAAAAUGGAGGGAAAGUCUAAAGGGUAUCAAGCCUCCUCCUUCGUUGCUGAUCUUUUCGAUGUCAAGGAGCCGCCAUCAACUUCUUCAUCAGAAGUCUUUGCAGCAAUCUUUCCUUCUCCACAGAAGGGGGGAGGCAGGAAUUCUUCUAGCUCUGGGGAUUGGCUAAAACAGGCCAAUGGAAAUCAACCAUCCCACGCCAGACAAGGAAAUUCAGAUCUGAUAAUUUCAAGGAGGGAGCUUGGAGCCUUGCCAUCUGAGUUCAUCUCUAUACUAUGGAGGACAAGAUGGUUACUCCCAGGCCCCAUCAGCUGGACCAUCCCCAUCCCCUGCCCCCACUUUGAAGAAAAGUGGGGGAGAAGAUGAUCCAAAUGGAAACAACUUCCAACCUGCUUCUAGGGGAAAUUGGUGGCAAGGUUCUCUUUAUUAUUAGGACGACUGCCUUUCCUUGGUGGCGCAUGAAUUCCCUCCUAUUUUCCAAGGAAUUCAUAACGAAGCUGAGCAGUGGAGCUUUGAAGUUGGAUUUACAUUACAUUGUGUAUACCAUUUCAAAUUAAUUUCUUGUUUGUUUUUUCUUUUACUUUGAAAAAUGGUGUGAAGUUUUCUGUAUUUUCUUUCCUUUAUUUCCUCUUUUAUUAAAACUGUGCCAUAAUUUUCAGUUCAAUAAUUAUAAGACGAUAGA